UUUCAAUUUUUAUCUCGCUCUCACCUUUUUCUUAAGCGGGCAUUGUUUUUGUUCUCAUGUUCCGAUUGGAUUUACCUGUUGCAGGUAUGCAUUUUUUAUUUGGUCCAUUGAGGAUUGAGCACUUAACAGUUAACACUACGGAAACUCCAAAAGCUGUUUGCACAUACGCUAUUGUGAACUUGAGAAAUGUGAAAUUUGACGUCGAAGAUAAAUGUGAAAAAAGAGAUCACGAAGAGCCAGUUGACCACUUUCAAAUGAGGAAAACAGGUAUAUCUUCAAUGCCAACUCCCGCCAUGCACAACAAAUCAGCUCCAAGAUCUGCAGGACCACAUCUCGAGGAUGUUGAUUGGAGCGGGUGAGCGGAAAGAUGGACUCUGUUAUUUCAGAAACAAACAGAGGGUAUGUGCCCUAAAGGAACACCCCAAUAGAAUGGAAAAGUGCAAAGAAAGCAUCGCCAUAUCUUGAAUGUAGCCCGAGCCUUGCACUUUCAAGUUGCAGGUGAAUUUACAAGGUAAAGUACAACUCUGAUGGAACAAUUGAGCGACACAAGACCCGACUAGUUAUUCUCAAGAAUCAUUAAGUAGAGGGGAUCGACCAUAAUGAAAUAUUUACCCAGUGGCAAAGAUGGUGACUGUCGGUGUAUUUUUGGCUAUAGUUGUGUCAAAGAAUUGAGAGUUACAUCAAAUAUAUGUACAUAAUGCUUUCCUGCAUGGGAUAUUCAAGAGGAGGUGUACAUGAAAUUGCCUCCUAGGUUUGGAGUUUCAAGUCAAGAAAAGUGUGUAGACUUAGGAAAUCCAUUUAUGUGUUAAAACAAGCACCGAGGUGUUAGUUUGCUAAGUUGUCGACUGCCUUGGAGGACUAUGGGUUCAAGCAUUCAUACUCUAAUUAUUCUCUCUUUACUAUGAAAAAGGGUGAAGUUAGAGUAAUGUUCUUGUGUAUAUUGAUGAUCUGAUUAUAUCUGGCAGUGAGCCCAAGGCUAUCAGUGAGUUCAAAAUAUAUCUUGGCAAAUGCUUUUACAUGAAGGAUUUAGGUAGCUUGAAAUAUGUUUUGGGAGUAGAAGUCUCCAGAAAAUCAAAAGGCAUUUUCUUGAGCCAACAAAAAUAUACCUUGAAUAUUAUCUCAGAGGUUGGGUUAUUAGGUUCUAAACAUGUGGGAAUGUAGUUGGAACAAAAUCAUUGGCUGCAUUAGUGGGUAGACGGGAGUUUGAUGACCCUAAGUGCUAUCGUCGUUUGAUAGGUCAACUUAUUUAUCUGUGCUUUACUCGGACGGAACUGUCUUAUACUGUUCAUACAUUUUCUCAGUUCAUGCAGCAACCAAAAGAGGAGCAUUAGGAUGCAAUUUUACGGGUUGUUUGGUACUUGAAAGGGAAUCCGGGACAAGGUAUUUUGUUGAGAAGCAAAUGUGAUCUACGUCUCUAUGGAUGGUGUGACUCCAAUUGGGCUGGUUGUACCUUGACUCGAUGCUCGCUCAUAGGCUGGUUUAUCUUUGGUGACUCACCUAUAUCUUGGAAGACUAAGAAGAAACAUACCUCUCAAUCAUCUGCAGAGGCUGAAUAUUAUUCUAUAGUAAUGACAAUCUGUGAGGUGAAAUGGUUGAAGGAAAUUUUAUCUAGUUUGGGAGUGACUUGCACUUCCCCUAUUCAUCUUUAUUGUGACAGUCAAGCAGUAUUGCACAUAGCAAAGAAUCCAUUCUUUCAUAAAAGAGCGAAAUAUAUUGAAGUGGACUGUCAUUUUAUGUGUGACAAGAUUUACAGUAAGAAUAUUCGUACUA